UGUAAGUCAAAUAGCCCAUUCCAUAGCCAAUGGCACAUCAUCAUUUGCGCUGCUUCCAUAAUUCAUAACUAAAGAUGAAUAAUGUUAUUCGCAGAAUGCUGUGAGACUGCCUCACUGGCACAUGAAUUCCCAUAGCAUAUUAUAUGCCAUAAGGGGUCAAGCACGGAUUCAGGUGGUAAAUGAAAAUGGCAACAGUGUCUUCGACGGUAGUGUAAGGCAAGGACAAGUCCUGACACUGCCACAGAACUUUGUGGUGGUGAAUAGGGCAGAGAGUGACAAUUUCGAAUACGUUUCCUUCAAUACCAAUGACAAUGCCGUGGCCUUUGAUGUUGCUGGCCGCACCUCAGCCCUUCGGGGCAUGCCAGUGGAAGUAAUUGCAAACGCAUUCAGAGUUUCGAUAGAGGAAGCCAGGAGGAUCAAGUUCGGGAGGGAGGAGACCACCCUUGGUAGCUCACUGUCUCAGCCAAGGAGGGCAGCUGCUUAAGCAGUAAAAUUACAGUAUGAACAAUGUAAACUAAAGGAACACACACCCUUUUUCGUGUUAAUGUAAGUAUGAUGUUUAGAAAUAAAAGAGACUUCCAUGGUCUCUGUACGCUGUAAGCACGUAAGUAGAGAGGACUUCUACUUGGCAAUAAAAAUGCUUCUUAUUUUAUGAAGUAAUUGGUUCCUCGUCCUUUGGCAGAGAAUAAAUUUGGUGAUAAAUUGACCUGAAACGCCAAAUGUAAUAUCAAAAAACAAGACUAUACAUAUCCUAUUGUCAUAGGAUCAUCAUUAUUCUGAAGGCCCUUAAUUUGCUUCUAAAUUAAUCCAUUUGCAUGUAUAACUAGAGCACUAAACAAGAGCAAGUACUACCACAUUGAAAUACACAGAACAGAAGACGUGUUAUAAAAUAAAUACCAACAUUCAUAUCCGACUGGAAAUUGGAAUUAGAGCACUAUUGCAUUUCUUUUAUCAAUCAAUUAAGCAAUGGAUAUGUUCAAAUAAAUUAGGAAUCAACUUUUAUGCAAAUAGUUCACCAAACAUGAUGUAAGUUUCUAAUAUGAUACUCCUGCAAAAUUUGUUUACAUCAAUACCCCUAUUACAAAAAACAACAGCAUCUCAUUUUAUUCAAACACAAUAGUAGCAAGCUUGAUUUUUCUUUCUUCGGGGCUGCUGUAAGCUUUUCCUUUACAUUCCUGCUAAACCAGCUUAUCUCCUUUGCUCCAAACUAAUCUGAUUCUGUUGAUACGAACAAAAGUAAACCUUGCCCCAAACUGAAGCAGAAAUAAUAGCACAUUUAGAAAAUAAGUGCUCCCAGCAAUUUACCUUGUCAAAAUUAGGUCUUCCGGGCACUAAUAAUAAAAAAAAUAUCACUGAAUUUUAAGUAUCAGGUAUAUGAUCUUUACUUAAGAAUUUUAAAGUAACUGCAUAUUUAAAGUUCGAACUUAAUACCUUAGUUAAACUAAAAAAAACCUUUACCAUCUAAUCUACACAUUCUUUUUGGAUUUUAGCGACUAAUUAUUGUAUUUCAACUAUCGCAAAUAUUUUUAAAAAAAUUAAUAAAUUUAAUAAGCAUCUAUUGCUAAGGGUGUCAUCGAGAUAAAACACAAAAUGAAUGAAUUAUGCCAACUACGAUAAUCGAUAUGUUUUAUUAAAGCUAAAGGGUUAAUUUGGCCCCUAAACUAUUUUUCAAAAUCUAAUUCUUUCCAAAUCAGUUUCUUGGCUAAUUACAUCAAAAUUCGCUGUAAAAAAUGUGUGAGCCUCAAAAUCAUUUUACCAAAAAUUUCAACAUAUCUUUUCUUCCUCCUGUUGUUGUGAUAAUAAGCCUUAGUCUCAAACGAUCAAUCACGACUUGAUUUUCUAAAAGUAGUAGCAUCAGACUCGUUCCGACAACGACAACAGUUUUGGAGAUCAGGGGUUUCAAGAGACAAUUGAUUUUCUUAAAAUAUUUUCAAACUAGUUUAGGGGGUGUUUGGAACUAAUCAGCCAUUAACCAGAGACUUUUAUAUAGUUUGGCCAAAAAUUAAAUCAAGCUGAAUUAACUUUGGAAAAUAAUUCAGAGGCCAAACACUUUUAAAACUGUCGACAAUUACUUCUUAUAUAUCAAUUUCCCAACUUCUCUUGGAGCCGACCCAAAUGGUGGAUAAACUUUGUAUUAAAUUUGUUUUUAUUAUAAGAUUUUACUUUGUUGUAUUUUAAUCAUUUAAUUUAAACUAUAUUUAAGUCACUUUCAUGAACAAAAGAUUGAUACUUCACAAAUACAAUGAAUAGAGAAAAGAACAAAUAAAAGAAACUCUCUAACUUAGAAAGGUGAUUAAAAUCAAAAUUAGGAAACUGAAACAAAUUUGGCAUCAUUAUUCCAACCACUUGUCAAAGAAUAUAAAAUCUAUUGUAUACUUAAUUUUUGUUUUCUUGGUAGAAACAUAUAGGGCAGAACCAAAACAGAAAGAUUAUACUUUAAUAAAAUUUAUGCCCACGUCAUAUCCAAAUUACAAAUCAGAGGUACCACUUGGAGGUUCAAGAUACACUUCAGUCAAUCGCAUUUACAAAAACGGUUCACCUACCUAAUUAACAAGAAAAUUAUUAUUUAUAAAAGUUAGUCGUUUACCGUGACUGUCGUAAUUAUUUUCAAUAUUAAUAAUAAUAGAAAUUGUGUCUAUAUAUAAAAUUAAAUAAUUUUUUUAAUAUUUUAUAAUUAUUUAAAAUAUUUAAAAAUAAAUUAAAUAUGUUUAACUACUUUGUUAGUUUUUUAUCUUUUAAAAUUUUAUUAAUAUAAUAAUAUAAAAUUAUAAAAAAAAAAACUAUAAAAUUAUAUAUAAACUUGAAUUCUACAUGUCAAUAAUUAGUACACAUGUCAAAAUUUAAAAUUAUAUGUGUCAGAAUAUGGUAACAAAUGUAAAAAAAAAAAUUAUUAGACCAUAUACAUAUUAAAAUUUUUAUUUAUUUAUAUGUAUUAAAAUAUUCAUUUUUUUUAUGUAUAAUGUCCAUUAGAUGUAAUAUUCUAUAAUAAUUAAUUUUUUUGUAUUGAAAUAUUCAUUAUCUAUGAACUUAAUAUUCAUUAUGAUUAAUGUCGUGUUUAUUUUGUUUGAUAUAUUAUUUUUCAAUAUUAGUAUUAAUAUUUAUUAUAUGGUACUACAAUAUUCAUUGUCCGUAUAAUAAUGUUCAUCAAUAUUUUUAAAUAUUGAUUUUUUUAUGAAAAUUUUUAUUGUUUUUGUAAUGCAUGUUGAAAAAAAUUAUGGUUGAUAUAAACAUUUAUCAUUUAUAGGCAUAAUACUUAUUAAUUUGUCAUUGAUGAAAAUCAUACUACUAAUUCAUUAAAAUGAAUAUAUAUAAUAUAAAUCAUCCUAACAUAGUCAGUAAAAAAAAUAUCAAGUUAAAAUUAUAAUAUAAAUAAUUAUACUGUAGUGCACGUAUCUUUUCAAUAGAUUAAAUUGAUUAAUAAUGAAUAUUUUAUAUUUAAAUAGUAAAUAUUUAAUGUAUGUUUAAUAAUUAUAAAUUAAUAAAUAUUAAUUAUUUUUAAAAAAAAUUACGUUAUCAUCUAGUAUGAACGUCAACGUGUCAGGCGCUCACGCGAAUAUUUUUACAAACAAAAUGGCGCUUGAGGCAAUAAAGCUAUAUGUAAAAGGCUCUAUCUUAUAAUUUGAUUAAAAUUGAACUCCCAAUGGGUAGCCAUUAAAAUCGCCUACCACAUAUAGAAAGUAACAACCAUAAUUGAACACUUCACCAAGUGAAUCAAUUUUAAAAGGAAAAUUAAAAAUGUGAAGCAUAAAAGAAAACAAGAGAAAAUUAUUCACUAUACUGCACUAUAUAGACUUACAGUGGUAAUCAAUGAGUUGCUUACCCUUCAAACAAAUCUAAUUUAAAAAUAAAUAUAAAAUGUCCAUGAAGACGCAUACAAAGACAAAUUAGCUGUUAGUAUUCUCAUCCUUUUCAUGGCCACUCUUGCAUUCAUCUCUCAAGUUUUGAGACACUUGCCCAACCUGACUUUAUUAGGUGUAAGAUAUUAGGCCAGAUUAACCAUGCAAAUUCAAGAGUAAGCUAAACAGUUCUCGUCCUUAUGGCCUUCCUCUGCUAUAAAUACCAACCUCUACCACCCCAUUUAUCACAAAUUAUAAACAGCAUUCCCUCCUCUGUAGCUACCACCAAGAUGGUUAAGCCAAUCCUGCUGUGUGCUUCUCUUUGCCUUAUUCUUCUCUUCCAUGGCUCCUCUGCUGGCUCUUCAUUUCAGCAGCAAAACGAGUGCCAACUCAAUAGGCUCAAUGCCUUUGAACCUGAUAACCGUAUUCAGAGCGAAGCUGGUACAAUUGAGUCAUGGAAUCCUAACCACGAUCAGUUCCAGUGCGCUGGUGUGGCUGUAACCAGGCACACUAUUGAACCCAGAGGCCUUCUGUUGCCAGCUUACAGCAAUGCUCCCCAACUCGUCUAUAUAGUCCAAGGUAUGUAGAAAUACGAAGUCUUUCUUUCAAAAGCAGCAAAAGAAGAUUACUUGCGUUUGCAUUUGUUUGAUAAGUGCUUACGAUGAUGGACUUAAAUAUGUAAAUUCAGGUAGGGGUAUGUUCGGGGUAAUGUUUCCUGGAUGCUCUGAAACAUUCCAAGAAUCUCAACAAUCCAGUAGCAGCAGUGGGCAACAAGAGCAGCACCAAAAGAUUCGUCAUUUCCGCCGUGGCGAUAUCAUUGCUUUGCCUGCAGGAGCAGCCCACUGGUGCUACAACGAUGGCAACGAACCCGUUGUUGCUGUCACUGUUUUUGACACUGCCAACAACGCUAACCAGCUUGACAGGAAUCCCAGGGUACGUAAUAAAGAAACAAAAACCUACAUGACUAUAGAUAUUGAUUAAUUAAGGUUGGUUUGGCUAAUACCAAUUUAAAUUUAUUUGCUUCUUUUCUACUUGUUUCACAGAACUUCUAUCUAGCCGGUAAUCCAGAAGAUGAAUUCCAGAAACAAUCCAGACGCCCAGGUGAGCGUGAACAGGGACGAUAUUCCCUUAGCGGUGCCAGCGAGCGACGACGGGGAUCUUGCAACAAUGUGUUCUGUGGAAUGGACUCAAGGCUCAUCGCUGAAGCUUUCAACAUCAACGAGCAAUUGGCUAGAAAGCUUCAAAGCGAGAAUGAUUUCAGAGGCAACAUAGUGUGGGUGGAAGGUGAUCUUCAGGUAACAAGGCCACCAAGGACUCAACAAGAGAGAGAGGAGCAAGAAGCGCGUGAAUAUGAAGAAAGCAGGGGACAUGAAAGAACUUACAAUGGCAUUGAGGAGACCUUCUGCACCAUGAGAAUGAAGGAAAACAUUGCUGAUCCAUCACGCGCUGAUAUCUUCGUCCCUGAAGUUGGUCGUAUGAGCACCGUCAACAGCCAUAACCUCCCUAUUCUCCGGAGCCUCCGACUCAGUGCUUCCCAUGUUGUCCUCCGCAAUGUAAGUUUAAUUAUUUCCUUCUUAAUCCCUUGAUUGCCGAUGGCGCAUCAAAAGACUUAUGCCAUUACUGAUGAUCUGGGUAUGUUAUUGGGCAGAAUGCUGUUAGAAUGCCCCACUGGAACACGAAUGCCCACAGUGUAAUAUACGCCAUAAGGGGUCAAGCACAGAUUCAGGUUGUUGAUGAAAAUGGCAGGAGUGUCUUUGACGGCAAUGUAAGGCAAGGGCAGGUUCUGACAGUACCACAAAACUUCAUGGUAGUUAAAAGGGCAGAGAGUGAUAGAUUCGAGUAUGUUGCCUUCAAAACCAACGAUAACGCCAUGACUUUCGAUGCUGCUGGGCGCACUUCUGCUAUUAGAGCCAUGCCAAUAGAGGUCGUAGCCAACGCAUUUCAGGUGUCGGUGGACGAAGCCAGGAGGAUCAAGUUCGAGAGGCAGGAGUCCACCUUUGGUAGGUCCAGGACUCGCUCAGGGAGGAGAGAUGUUGCUUGAGGAAGCAUUGUAAAAUUAAAAUAAGAGGCACACACUUGGCCGUUUUUUGUUCUCUGAGUGUGCAACUAAAUAUAAGGUCUAGAAAUAAAGGAUACUUUGAUGGUCUCUCAUAUUACGCUUAUGUAAGUAGGAAGAGCUUCUACUUGGCAAUAAACAAAAUCUUCUCUUUUAUCUUUUAUCCUUUUUUUUUUUUUUAUCUGGUCUAUGAAGAAGCAAUAAAGAGAUCGUUUCUUCUUUUUUACCUUUUCUUUCUCUGUCCAUGAAGAAGAGAUGUAAAUGUCAAUUUUGAACAUGCUCGUGCUUGACCUUCCAUAUUCGAUAUGAAGAAGGUUACUAAUCCUCGACAGAACACAUCCAUAUUCGAUAGGGUGUUGUUUAGCAGCGGUGGUCCUUUGCAUUUGGUUGUUGAUUGUAUUUGAAUUAGUGUCUCUGAGAUUAUGAAAAUCCGAUGGUAUGCUAGUUGGCUGCCUAAACUGCUGUAACAGGUUAGUUGGCUGCCUCGCCCUUGACUUGGUUUAAAGUUAAUUCUGAUGGUGAGUCGUUGUCUUCUUCUGGUUUAGCCAUGGCUGGUGGCUAAUUAGGAAUCAUUAGGGGGUUUACAUUUAAUAUUGGUGCUUGUUCUAUAACUAGAGCUGAAAUGUGGGGUAUGCUUAAGGGUAUUCAAUUGGCUCGAGAGUUGAAGUUGAUAGUCAAUGCGCUGUCCAUUUGGUGCAGAAUUCUGCUAGACUGGGUAAUGCGAAUGGUGCUAUUAUAAGAGAAAUUCAUCAGUUUGUUUCUAAUAAAGACUCGGAGGUAAGAAUUGUUUUGCGACUUAGUUCGGCUGCACAUUGCAUUGGGUGGCUAAUAGCUAGUAAUUCAAAGUUGAUAAAAUAAAUAGUUUUAUAAAAUUUUAUUAGUAUAUUAAAUAGUUAUUAAAGAUAUAAUCUAGUUUUACAUAUAUAUUUAAUUUUAUUAUACUAUCUUUAAUAAUAUAAAUUAAAAAAUAAAUUAUAAUAAUUAAAAAUAUUAUGGUUAAUUUUUUAGUUUAAUUGUAUUUGUAUUUAUUAUUAAAAAUAUUUGUAAAAGUUAUUUUUAAAAUAAAAAUUUAAAUUUAAAUUUUAUUAAAAAUUUAAUAAUUUCAAAUACUAUAAUUAUUUAACUAUUAAGAAUAAAUUUAAAAUAAUAAUUAUUUAUUAUAAAAUAUAAAAAUUUAAUUAUAUGAAAUCAACUUAAAGUAAGUUAUUAUUAAUAAAUUUUAAUAAGAAUAAUAGUAUCCAAAUAAAAAAGAAUAAAUCAGUUAUCAACUAAUAAAAAAAAAAUAAUUAGAGCCAGUACAAUCAAUAAUUGAUUGAACUAAAUCAGUUAUUAACUAUUGUUUUUUAAAUUUUUAUUAAAUAUUUUAAUAUAGUUAUUCAGUGAAAAAUAACUAAAUCAACUAUGAGUUGCUCAUUCUUAAGUCAUUACAAAACGCUUUAAUAUAGUUAUUUAGUAAGAAACAAAUAUCGGCUGCACAAAAGAAUUGAACCGAAUAUUCUCUUUAUAUCUAUAGAUAAAAGAACUUUAAAAUGAAUCGAACUCGAGCUUCUACCAUAUUAAAACAAAUAGAACUCCAGCUUGUCAAAAUUCGGCUCUACUCAAUUCCUUACGGUCCUAUUGUGCUGUUUUUAGUGCUCGGUUUAUUUGACUUUAGUUUUCUUUUUUACUUUUUCUUAUUUGUAAUAAUAAUAAAAAAAGAGGCAUGUAGUAAAAAAAAAAAUUAGGAUAAAAGAACAACGCAACUAAAAAAAGGCAGAAACAGAAGAGAUACAAGAUACGAUAAAACAACCAAAAAAAGGCAGAAGUAUAUAGGGCCAAAGAAAGGCAAUAAAAUUCUUCAAUAUGCCAUACACUUUGCUUUGCCUUACACUUCCAAAAGCCUGUCACUAUUCCUAACAAGACACUACAAUAGCAUAUUCUGAUCCAAUAAGAAAGUUAUCAACUUUCUUUUUUCUUCUUUUUUUAUUCUUCUUUUUCAUCGUGUAUAUAUAUAUUUAGAAUUAAUUUAGAGUUCGUCGGAUAAAACUUUUAUCCAUCACAAAAUACUAUCUCAAAAAUAAUAAUACAAUUGCAUACUCAAAAUUCGAAUUUGAAACCUUACUUAAGCUAGGUUAUAUUUUUAUCAUUUCAUUUACGCACUCUUAAAUAUAUAUAUAUAUUUUUUAUUAUUUAGAUGCAAAAGGCAAAAAUUAAUACCAAGCCCAAUGAUACAUGUUUUUUUUUAGAUAGAGAGGUAUUUGUAUUAAGUUCGCCCACACUCCGGCAACACUGUUCUCAUGCAGCCAUACCUAAUUGAAAUGGCAGAUUUAACUGAACAGGAGUUGUUUGUAUUUGGAGCCCAUAUUCUUUUAUCAGAUUGUAUAUUCUUUUAUCAGAUUCUAUAUGUAGAUCAUCAAUUUUGUUAUAUUUUGAUUGAAAUCCUUUAAGAAAUUCAUUUCAUUUAAAAAGAAUAACAUAAAAAAAAAAUUGAAAUAAUAAAAUUGAAAGAACUAUGUUGGUGUUAUGCAAUACACUUAUAAACUAAUAUANNNAACUAAUAUAAAUUUUAUUUAAAAAUUUUAUCUAUUUUGUUAGAAUUUAAUUUAGUUAAAUUCUACACAAAUUUUAUUAUAUAAAAUUCUAAGUUAAUAUUCACUUCAUUUAAAACAUAAAAAAUUUAAAUUUAUAAAUAAAUUAUAAAAUUUUUAUAAAUUACAACCAAACACAAUAAGUGACACUAAAACCAAUUCAGAUCGUGCCAAAUGUCCAUUUCUUUGAUAAGAAUAUUAUUGCCUAAACAAAAAAGGAGCAAAUUUAAUCCAAAUAUUAAUUCAAAAAUUUACCAAAAAAUUAGAUUUGGUGUAUGUUACCACCUAUAUACAAAAUCGAUAAAUGAUUGACAGAUAUUUAUUAGUAUUAAAUAAUAAAGUAUGUGUCAAUUAUCUAAUACUAAAACAUAAAAUACUCAUACAUACGUGUUAUUUUCUUAUUAGUUGUGGUAUAUAUAUAUAUAUAUAUAUAUAAAGCCUAAAUAAAAAAAUUUACAGCAUGGACUAAACUUACGAGAAUUUAAUAUGCUGGACAAAAUUUUGGUUCCAGUUGGGUCUGCAUAAUAUGUAUCCAAAUAGUAGACAUAUUUUGAGUUGAGGAUGAGGAUACCCAAUUAUAUAGUGUUAGACCAUACUUAUCCAAAUAAAUUCUUUUGAUUGGUUUAAAAAUAUGAGUUUUAUUGGAUUAUAUACAUUUGUAAAUUUCUUGGUCCAAUUUUAGUCUAUAUUAUAUUUAUAUAUAUCAGUGACACAUAUUGAUACAAUCCAUCUUUUUAUAUUUAAUAUUUAAUAAAUUAAUAAUUUUAUUCGUUAACAAAUUUUUGAAAAAUUAACUUCAUUCUUCUUUGGAUAAUUAGGAAAAAAUGCUAAUUAUUUAUGUAUUAUUUGCCUUUACAUUAUAUUUGGUUGUAACAAUAAUUUUGUAGAAUUUAUUUCAAAUCCAAAAUUUAUUUGUUUACUAUAUUAACGAGGUAAUAUAUUUCGUGAGAUUAAUAUCAUUUAAUUAUUUCAUAUUUUUGUCUCGUAUUUUUUAUCUAUAUAAUAUUAUUAAUUAUUCAAAAUGUAAUAUUAAUUUCAAUGGAAGUGAAUCAUAUACUUUUCAUUUAACACAAAAAAAAUAUUGUCAAUUCAUUUAUAAAUAAAAUGAAUUCAUCAAUCAAAGGUAAUAUUAGUGUUAUUAUUUUAAUAUUUAUUAUUAGUAGUAAAUUUGAAGUUUUAGAAGUUACCAAUUUUAAUAUCCGGGGAAGUUACCACUUAUAAGAACCUUUAAAAGUUAGUACAUGCAAAAAAAUGGAAGAAAAUUGACACAUAGGCCACCAACAAAAAGAAGUGAAAGGAAAUAAUAUUUUCUAUUAAAGGAAUGUGCAGCAUGAUUUUUACGCUAAUUACUUAUUUUCGAUUGAGAAUUAAUUAAUUAUUUUGUAUUUUCAUAACAACUGUUUCAUUUUAUAUAAUAACUUGUUAAUUUUAAAUUUAUAUAUAUAUAAUUUAUUAAAUUCUUUACAAAAAUACCCCGUUUCGCAAUAGUAAUAUUUUUACCUCCAAAAAGAAGUCUUAUAAAAAUUCCCCUUUUAACUAAAACUCUUUUAUAAAAAUAUGCUUUCUCCGUGAUGUGUUAUAUGUGCAUUUCUUGCAUGGUAUUUUACAUUCAAUAAAAAUACACUUAUUAAAAUAUUAAAAUAAGACACACGAUUAGUGGAUAUAUUUUUAAAAAAAUUUAUAAUGGUUAUUUUAUUUUUAUUUUUAUUUUUAUGACCUAUGUUUUUAUAUGAAUUUAAUUUCUUCUUUUAUUUUUCAGAAAUGCAUAUUUUAUAUUAAUUAAUUAAUUAAUAUAGAUGACUUCCUUAAUAAAUUACUAUAAAUUUAAACUUUACAUCACGACUAUAACACUCUAAAAUCUCAUCAUUUUUAAAAAUUUGAAAUCUGUCCUAUACACUUUAUACUAUAUAGUUAAGUUAUUUGUAGCUCGUGUUGGACAGUUUUUAAGUUAAUGUGAGAGUAAAUACUAACUUGUUCAUAUAUUUUUCCUUAUUUAAAUCAGUACAAACAUCCCAUUUUGCAUAAUUUUACGAGUGUAGUUUAAUUUUAAAUUUUUACAUAAUUAUAAAUAUGAAAUUUUUACAAAAUUAAUAAAAUUUAUACCUCUAAUACACACAAGCUCAAAAAAUCCCUUUCAAGCUAAUAUAUAUAUUCUAAUAAUUUAAAAUUAUUUCAAAAAGUAAAUAUCUCUGAAGACAAAUCAAAUUAACAAAAUAUCAACUAAAAUAAUUUAUUUAUUUUAUUUUUUACAUCAACAAAAUAAAUAAAAAAUAACCAUAAUCAAACACAAAAUAAAGUAAAUCUAAAUACUAAAAAGUAAUUUUUCAAGAAAAAAAAUUAAUUUCUAAUAUUGUGGAUCUUCUUCAACAUAAAAGUAACAUUUUAAGGAACAUAAAACUAUUUUUUCAACAAAAAAAUGAAUUUCUAAUAUUCUAAAUUAUUUUUAACUUGUAAAUAACAAUUCAAGAAGAGAAAUUAAAGAUACUUCUUUAUAUAUUUGAAAUUCAACCAAACAUCAACAAAAUCAUUUAAUUACAUAAAGACUUAAAACAAAUAUAAAAUAUAAAAUUUGACAUAGAAAUUCAUAAUGAAACUGUGUUAUCUCUAAACAACCUUAAUGCUAUUCUAUAUUUUAAAAUACACAAGAAGCUAUUUCUGGUACAUACAACCACAGUUACUUGAAAAUACAGUCUCUUCAUUUUCACCUAUAACUAACAAUAUUUCUUUUCCUAUUGACUAAAAGGACAAAUUUUUUUUACAUCUCAUGAAUUUAUAUUCCUUCGUCGUCAUCAAAAUUACAAUCAGAAUCAAAAAAAGAAAUCCCAACGGCUUUGAAGAUAGUAGGAAUCUCGUAUUCUUCCCCUUUAUAGUACUUCUCUAUCAUCUUCUUUAGCAUUCACAAGUAAAAAGGAUUAAAUAGAGCCAAAUAUAAAUACAUGAUGAUAGUGUCGGCUCAUAUUCAUAUCUAUUUGAGAACGCCAAGACACCAUCACCGCAAGAACAACACAUCAAGAACACCAUUGCAAGAAACAGUUCCACCAAAUUUAUGAUUUUAAUUGGACCCAUUCUCUCUUCCAUAUAUGGUUUUAUAGCAGCAUCCAUGCUUGUACAAGCCAAAGAAAACAAAUAUUUUGCUUUUAACAACAGAAAAAACUAAUUUAAGAAUGGGAUGUGUUGCCUCAAAACUAGAAGAAGAAGAAGAAAUGUACCUAUCUGUAGAGAAAGAAAACCAACUUCACCUUUUCCCAUUGCUUUUCCUUCCUUCUUUUUCUACCUCUAGCUACCGUUCUUGGAUAGCUUGCUUGCGGACGAUCCGCCUUCCCUCCCCCCCCCCCCCCCCCCCCACACCAGCCUUUGACAACACUCAUUGACCGGGGAAGAAGAUUAAGAAGCUUGAAAAUUGGCUCUUCUUGAAAAAACAUAAAAAUGUAAAGAGAAAGAGUAAAAAUGUGAGGAAUUAAAACUGGAGGUAAUUUUGUAAUUAUAUUGAAAAAAAAAAGCAUAUAGGAUCUAAUUCCCUCUAAUUUAUUUUGAAUACUUUGAUUUCAUACAAUUUUAUAAUUUUUAUUCUUUGUGAACUUUAUAGAUUGAUAAUAUUAAUAUUUAAUAAUUUUUUGAUCAAUCAGAUAUAUUAAUUAUAAAAAAAUAUAUAAACCAUUUUAAUAUUAAAAUAAAAAUAUUCACAAACAUAUAUCACUAUUUCAAAAAUUAACAUAUAUAUGUCACUACUGAAAAAUAUCAAUUUAUUAGUUACUCGAGGAAUAGAUGUAAAUCAUGUAAUUAAUUAAAAAAGAAAUUCCAAGAAGAUACAUACAAGUAGCUGCUAGUCGUCUCAUCCUUUCCAUAGCCACUUUUGUAUCCAUCUCUCAAGUUUUGAGACACAUGCCCGACCUGACUUUAUUAUGUGUAAGAUAUUAGCCCAAAUUAACCAUGCAAAUCAAACAGUAAGCUUAACAAGUUCUCGUCCUUACUAUACGCUUUCUCUUCUAUAAAUACCAACCUCUACCACCCCAUUUAUCACAAAUUAUAAACAGCAUUCCCUCCUCUGUAGCUACCACCAAGAUGGUUAAGCCAAUCCUGCUGUGUGCUUCUCUUUGCCUUAUUCUUCUCUUCCAUGGCUCCUCUGCUGGCUCUUCAUUUCAGCAGCAAAACGAGUGCCAACUCAAUAGGCUCAAUGCCUUUGAACCUGAUAACCGUAUUCAGAGCGAAGCUGGUACAAUUGAGUCAUGGAAUCCUAACCACGAUCAGUUCCAGUGCGCUGGUGUGGCUGUAACCAGGCACACUAUUGAACCCAGAGGCCUUCUGUUGCCAGCUUACAGCAAUGCUCCCCAACUCGUCUAUAUAGUCCAAGGUAUGUAGAAAUACGAAGUCUUUCUUUCAAAAGCAGCAAAAAAAGAUUACUUGCAUUUGCAUUUGUUUGAUAAGUGCUUAAGAUGAUGACUUAAAUAUGUAAAUUCAGGUAGGGGUAUGUUCGGGGUCAUGUUUCCUGGAUGCGCUGAAACAUUCCAAGAAUCUCAACAAUCCAGUAGCAGCAGUAGGCAACAAGAGCAGCACCAAAAGAUUCGUCAUUUCCGCCGUGGCGAUAUCAUUGCUUUGCCUGCAGGAGCAGCCCACUGGUGCUACAACGAUGGCAGCGAACCCGUUGUUGCUGUCACUAUUUUUGACACUGCCAACAACGCUAACCAGCUCGACAGGAAUCCCAGGGUUCGUAAUAAAGAAACAAAAACCUAUAUGACUAUAGAUACUGAUUAAUUAAGGUUGGGUUGGCUAAUACCAAUUCAAAUUUAUUUGCUUAUUUUCUACUUGUUUCACAGAACUUCUAUCUAGCCGGUAAUCCAGAAGAUGAAUUCCAGAAACAAUCCAGACGCCCAGGUGAGCGUGAACAGGGACGAUAUUCCCUUAGCGGUGACAGCGAGCGACGACGGGGACCUUGCAACAAUGUAUUCUGUGGAAUGGACUCAAGGCUCAUCGCUGAAGCUUUCAACAUCAACGAGCAAUUGGCUAGAAAGCUUCAAAGCGAGAAUGACUUCAGAGGCAACAUAGUGCGGGUGGAAGGUGAUCUUCAGGUAACGAGGCCACCAAGGACUCAACAAGAGAGAGAGGAGCAAGAAGCGCGUGAAUAUGAAGAAAGCAGAGGACGUGAAAGAACUUACAAUGGCAUUGAGGAGACCUUCUGCACCAUGAGGAUGAAGGAAAACAUUGCUGAUCCCUCACGCGCUGAUCUGUUCGUCCCUGAAGUUGGUCGUAUGAGCACCGUCAAUAGCCAUAACCUUCCCAUUCUUCGGAGCCUCCGACUCAGUGCUUCCCAUGUUGUCCUCCGCAAUGUAAGUUUAAUUAUUUCCUUCUUAAUCCCUUGAUUGCCAAUGGCGCAUCAAAAGACUUAUGCCAUUACUAAUGAUCUGGGUAUGUUACUGGGCAGAAUGCUGUUAGAAUGCCCCACUGGAACACGAAUGCCCACAGUGUAAUAUACGCCAUAAGAGGUCAAGCACAGAUUCAGGUUGUUGAUGAAAAUGGCAACAGUGUCUUUGACGGCAACGUAAGGCAAGGACAGGUUUUGACAGUACCACAAAACUUCAUGGUAGUUAAAAGGGCAGAGAGUGAUAGAUUCGAGUAUGUUGCCUUCAAAACCAACGAUAACGCCAUGACUUUCGAUGCUGCUGGGCGCACUUCUGCUAUUAGAGCCAUGCCAGUAGAGGUCGUAGCCAACGCAUUUCAGGUGUCGGUGGACGAAGCCAGGAGGAUCAAGUUCGAGAGGCAGGAGUCCACUUUUGGUAGGUCCAGGACUCGCUCAGGAAGACGAGAUGUUGCUUAAGCAGGCAGUGUAAAAUUAAAUGAAGAGGCACAUACAUAGCCUUGUUUUGUUCUUGAAUGUGCAACUGUAAGGUCUAGAAAUAAAAGAGACUUCAAUGGUCUCUGUUGUUACUCUUAUGUAACUAGAAGACUUCUACUUGGCAAUAAACAGAUCUUUUCUUUCUUCUUUGUUUUCUUAUUUUCUGGUCCAUGAACAGAACAGUCGUACAUAUGUAAAUUUUGAGUUUCCUCAUGCUUGCUCUUCCAUGUCUAUGAAGAAGGUUACUAAUCCUCACAUAAAUCAAACACAAAAAAUCAUAUAAAUAUUCAUUUUAAAAGACAAUACUACCUAAUUAAUAAUAAUAACAUGCAUAAAAAUUUAAUAUAAUACUAUAGAGAAAUAUAUUCUUAUGGUUAAACUUCAUCAGGGAAAAUAGAAUGACAGGAGAAUUAUCAAGGCUUUCAAAUAAAAUAAUAAAACUGCAUAGUUUUUAAAUAAUUUUUAAUAUAUUUGACCCAUUAGACCUGGGUGAUUUGUGACGGUGUGUGUCACCCGUCCAUUCGGGUUAAUGGGUUCUUACGGGUAUAACAAAAAAAAAAGGGUCCGUUAUUAGUAAUCCACCAAAAUAAUAAUAAAAAGAAGGUAGCAAAACGUAUAUUAUGAUAUGGGAUUUAAGAAUUGUAAUAGCAUUGACUGUUUUUAUUGAAAUAAUUUAUGGUAUUUAUAAAUAAGGACUUGAAGUUAAAUUCCUUUUACUAUCAUGCAGAAUUCUGUAUUCAUAGAAACUGAAAUUUGUGAGCUAUCACGAAAUGGGUCACCAAUCCGAAUGAAGGUUGGAUCCUUUGGUGAGUUUUCAACUCGCUGAGUAUUUUAUAUUUAUAAUUUGAUAAUUAACCUAUAAUUUAAUAAUUUAAUGUAUUAAUGAUAUGUUUUGAAAAUUUUAUGUUAGCUGUUAAUUUUUAUCUAUCUAUUUACUCUAUCUUUACACCUUCUUAAAUGCUCAUUUUUACAUCAUUGUAUUAAUAAAUCCAAAUGAUUUUUGUUUUAAUUACAUUUGAUUUAUAUUAUAUGGUUAAGAUUACUAUUAUUGAUAGGAUAUGGUGUUCUAUUUAUUGGGUCUAAGCUGAGGGCCCUAGUUGACGUAUUUAGUUUUUGUCAGUUGAACUCAUUUUUUUCUCUAUAAACAUAAACCUAACGGAUUUAAGAUGCUCAAGUUUAGUCUAUUCGGGUCAAAAAGUUAAAACUUAAUUCAAAUUGUGAAAACGGUUUAAUAAACAACAAUUGUUCUCAAAUUUCGAAGUCAGAUCCCACCAAAACAUCUCCACCUGGGAAAACUGAAAAGAAAAAGAGCAGUGUCUGUGCUGUGCUCUGUUUCAGCUCUGCCGCCCCCAUUUAUUUGAAACUGAAUCGCCCACUUCUCAAUCUUUCUUAACAAGGUCUCGAAAAGAAAUACUAAACCCCAGAGGCAAGAAAAGGAAGAAAAAAAUGGAAGCUUAGAUUUAGAAGCACGAGAAGCCGAAGAAUUGAAGAUGAAGAGCAAGUCUUAUUUCCUUGUCAUUCUCAUUCUAGCUUGCUUUGCAGUAGAAACAGCAUCAGCUUCAAGGCCUGCCUUUCUCUUUACGAGAACAAGAGGAAGAUGCACUGCCCAGUAAGAUCUCCAUCUCUAUCUAUCUCUUAAUCUCUUUCUUUUCCUUUAUCUAUUUCUGUUCUUUUAAUAUUGGACGGUUUUUAAGUUUAAACUCAGAGACCUCACAGUCUAGAGAUAGCUCAGUAGUACUGAGCGUGUCACUGGAGCUUAAACUCAAGAUUCCGCUAUCUGGAGAUAGCUCCAGUGUCACUUACUUAGGUUAUCUCUCAGUUAAUAGUAAUGAAUGGGUUGAGGCGUCCGAGUAUUAGUUUGGCGAGUUGACUCGGCAGGCUAACGUGUAUGAUAUAGGUACUGGAGUAGCAGGAGAGAGGCAUGGCCAAGGAUGGUGCCGCAGACAUCAACGGUGUCUAAUGUAUUUGGUUCAAGAAUAUUUGAACGGUACAGAUCUGGAUUGACUUUGUUAGAAUCAACGGCCAGGAAUGACGAUGAGAAUGUGUUCGUUGGGUUGUUGAAGCAGGCAAUUGCAGCACUUUUGAAUUCUUAUGCUAGAAAAGAAUUUGCAUACUCUGCUUGGGAAGUGAAGACUCUGUUUAUACAAGGUUUGGUUUCGGAAGGGGCUGCUGCCAAACUUGCCAAACAGUUCUCUAUUGCUAAUGAGGCUUGUAAUAAUUAAUGAGAGGUACAUUUUUCUAUGGUAGAUCAAGUGUCAGAUUAACACCAAAAAUGCAAAACUUGUUAAUUAAUUACAAUUUCUGGUUGUUUAAGGUAACGUAUGCCUUCUACUUGUCUGUAACUGGAUUCAUUUUACACUUUGGAUCUUCUUUUUUUUAGUUUAUGCAGUCUGAUGACUGACUCCAUUCGAAGCUACAUUUUUUGGGGAUUUCUUAUUUUUGUCAUUUUAAUUUAUCUAACCCAAUAAUAUGGGUCCUAUUAUAUCAUAUUUACAACUCCUAUUAACAUGUUAUGCACCUUUAAUUGUGAAACUUUUGCUAAAUACACGUGUCAAAUUCGAAAUAUUUUUAAAAAUUAACUAACUAAUUUAUUUUAAUAAGUUAUUAUAAUUAUUUAAUUUUUUUAUGUAAUGAUGGUUGCACAUAUUUAGACAGUAAUAAUUUCAAUCAACGCACUACAUUGUAAUUUUAAAAAUUUUAUAUAUUUAAUUAUUAACUUUUAAUAAGUUUAUAGACUAUUUUUUUUAUAAUCAUCUCCACAAAAAAAUCUAUGGAAAUUCGAUUAAUGGAAAGCUCCUUGUGCUGAGUUGGAAUUCUAUUGACAAUGUAAAUCCUGUAAAGCUGAAAAUAUUAAACGUGUUAUUUGGCGGAUAUUACACUGUUAUAAUUAAUUUGAAGUCACAAUUAAAAGGGACCCAAAUUCCCUAAACCACAAAGUCAAAAUCUGACAAUGGUUAACUUAACUCAGGUUGAAUUGAAUUGAAUUAAAGUCUUUUACAUCAGGCCAGUUUUGUGCAUUUUACCUUCAAUGCAUAAUUCUUAAUUCAAUUUUAUAAACAUAAUAAAAUUUAAUCCAAUCCAUAAUUGUAUAUUGGAUUAGGCAAUUUCCUUUAUUCGUUUAAUAGAACAACUCUUCCUAUGAAAUUAAAUAAAAUGAGAAAAAACAUAUAAAUUAAUAUUUAAUAUUAGAAAUUUUAUUAAAUCAUUAAUCGAUAUUAUUUAAUCCAACUCACAAAGUAUGGCUGAUAUAAAAAUGGAAUCGGUCCGUCUUAUAAUAUUUAUAAUUACGAUUUGUGACGGGUUAGGCGGUUUUUUAGAACUCUCCUUUUCCCGGGUCAGGGAGGCUGGGUCCGCAAACAAUCAAUUGCCAACUCCGAUUUCAUCUCGUGUUAGCCCUAGAACCCGUUUGGUUACAUGUUUUAACUACUAACCAGGACUAGGCCACACUCAUCCCUGUUUAAAUUUAACUUUUCUUUUACUCGGUCACCUUACAUUCAUUAUUUGUAUACAAGAAGUCCAGUUUCCUGCACACAGCUAAAACUUGCGCGGACACCAAGGCUACAUAUCCAUCCUCUUUUACAAACUUAUACAGUUACCCAAACUAGUCCUUUUUUCUCUCAAAUAGGUUCUGCUAGUGGCAACUGGUCACUGCCUCUUGUUUGUUUGCCACGAAAACUUUCACAUUUCUUUUCCUUCCUUUCCUGGGAAGAAAAGAAACAAAAAGAAAGGACAAUCUAUUUUAUAGAAAUUGGUAUUCAGCAUCAAUUCUGUAGAUUAUAUAUAAAAAAAAAGGAACCCUAAUUUUCUCUCGAAAAUAUUGACCUUUUUUAAUGGCGGGUAAAAAGCUUGUUCGAGACUUGUUCCUCUCUAGACAACCUCUAUUUCUUCACUUAACAUCUCAACAGGUUCUUAUUAACCUAAACUAUUGUAAAAAUAGUAUUUUUUAUUAUCAUUUUCAUCAUUUAUUCAUUUUUUGAAUUGGAACUUUUGGUGCUUUAGGGUUCAAGAACGAGAUUACGGUUGCCGUCGACCUUGCCCAAUGGAAAAAACAUGGGUUAUCGUGGAUUUGGUGUAUUUAGUGAGUUUUCCAAGAAAGUUAAAGGAGAGGUCACUAGGUAAGUUUUGCUUAUUUUAUCUCUCUGGGACUUGCUAUUUGUUAUGUAUUUUUUUUUGUUAUACUCUCUGUUAAUUGUUGCAUAUAUCCGUCUCAAGAUGAGAGCUAUUAAGUUAUAGUUAGGAUUUUUGGUGGGUAUUUCUCUUAGUAGGUGCAAUCGUGCACAUCUUCUCUUAGAAAAUAGAAGCAGGUGGGCAACUUUUAAAUUUUGUAGUUCUUAUUGUUUGAGAACUUGAAAGGUUCAUUUUUUGCUUAGUAAUAAUGGUUGGUGAACUCUUUUUGAAGGAAAGAUGAUAAUAGUAAAAAAAGAAAAAGAGAAACAACUUAGUAGUUGGAGUAAGCGGAAGACAAUUACAUCUUCUGCUAUUGGCAAUUUCUAACUUCCUCUGUUUUUAUGUUUGGAUUAUGACAAUAUAGAUGUAAUUGUUAUUAGUUUUAUUUGGGAUUUUUCUUUGUUUAAAUGAAGUUUGUACAGCUGCUUUUCAGUAUAGAAUAUGAACAAUUCUGCAAUCACUUAAGACUUUGAGUUAGAAAGUCUCCUCUCAGAAUGCCCAGUUGAUAUUCAUAGUUUAAUGGAUUUGCUUUUUGUUUAAGUUCCUUACCUUAUUUUUCUUCUAAAUGAGUAUUUGCCUAGAGUAAUAAUCUGCUUUGCUGGAUGCAGAAGUCAAGAAUUUCAACAGUCGGUCAAGGAGCUGAAGGAUAAAGCUGAAGAAUUGAAAGGGGUGAAAGAGGAUCUGAGAAUUAGGUAAAUUUUAUGGCAUUAUUGUCAUGCCAAGGGUCAUUUUAGUUUUUAUUAGUUAAUAGGCUGAGACAUACUGUUGUAUGUCAAGGGAGGGCCUGAGAUGGUGAAAAUGGCGAAUGCAGAACGAAGGAGACUACUGAACAGCUGUACAAGCAUGUGGAUGGAGCGUGGACAGAGGCUGAAGCUACUGCAAAAAAGGUGCAUUCCGAUUGAUGUUGUAUAUAUAUCACUUUUUUAUUAUACUUUAUUUUCUGCCAGCAUUCUGUUCCUUUUUGUUUGUUUUAUGUGUGCACGCUUGUGCUCCUGGAAAUCUUUAGUUUGUGGAGCUACUUUACGUGGAAGUCCCUGUAAAUUUAGGUGUAUAAUUUUUCUUUCACUAUUUUGAUGGGUGCCUUUUCGGAGCAUGCAAGAGCAAGAUGUCUGUUGAUAUAAUAUCUUUCUUUUGCAUUUGUGUUGUUUGCAGGUUUCUGCAAAUGUUAAAGAGAAGAUUUCAGCUGCUAAAGAAGAGGUUUGUUUGCUGUUUAGAUUGAUAUUCUUUUGUGAGUUGCUGCUUCAUUUUUGAACUUAUGACUGUAUUAAUUAUUUAUUCAUUUGACUUGUGUGAUUCAGGUCAAAGAAACUCUGAAUAUUGGGAAGCAAGAGUCUUCUGGGUCCACAAAGAGUUCAGAUAAAGAUGGUGCUGAUGUAAAAGAUGAUAAGAAGUCCUCAUCUGGUGAAGAAACAGACGAGCAAACUGGCUCUAGUGAUAAUGCAGAAUCUUUUUUUGGAAAAUUUAAGUCAAGCACACCUUCCUCAAAGCUGUCUUCAGCCUUCCAGAAAUUGAAGGAAGCAAAGGUCACCGACUUUGUGAAGAAGGGGUAUGAUGUUGUGAAGGAUGAAUUAUAUGGUAACCCCAGUAAGAGAAAGCACCUGGAGUAUACUCCUCCCCCCUCCUUCAAAGGUGAAACAAGCACAAGAACAGACAUUGUUGUUCUGCCAUCAAAGCAAUCUCGAUGGAAUAAAAAGUGGGAGGCAUUCAGAGAAAAGGUUAUCCAGUUUGUCAAAUGCUACAUGAGAAGAAAUGCAUUAAGAACAAAUAAAACCAGACUUUUCUUAUUUUUCCUAAUGUUGAUUAAUUUCUUCUUUAAAUCAGAUGCAAGGUCAUCCUUUAUUCAAGCGUUUUGCUGGCAUUAGUGAACCGGUUGUAACAAAGAGUCAAGAGGUAACUCAUUCCUCCUUAUUCUUUCUUUCUGUUGGUUUUAGUUUUUUCACUUAUGAGUCUGUUUAUUUUGCUCUGUUGAUCUUCUGAAAUUCACAGAUUGCAGAGGACAUGCGGGAAAGAUGGGAAACUAGUGAUAAUCCUAUUGUUCACAAAAUUCAGGAGUAUGUAUCUCUCUCUCUCUCUCUCUCUCUCUCUCUCUUUUCAGUAAGUUCUCUUAAGAGUUACUCAUGUAACCUUUUCUUUCAUGACAGUGUUAGUGAUACUAUUUUUCAAGAAACUGAUGCUGCUGCGUCUUUCAAGGAAAUACGUCGUCGGGAUCCGUAUGAUUACAUGAGCACUUCUGUUCAAAAGAUUUAUGUUCACAAUUUCAACAGCCUGUUAAUGUUUUCCCCACCUUUCCUGUUCCAUCUAUGUUUAUUUUCAUCAGAUCAUUCUCUUUGAUGGAUUUUGUGGCUGAAGUUCAGGAAGCUGUUAGACCUGUCCUUAAUGCUUACAUAAAGGUGUUCUUCUUGCCCUGAUUUAUUUUUUAUUCCUAUUAAAAUUAUUUCAUGGAAAUAUCAUCUAGUCAGUUAAUAUUAAUUUGUUUUGUGCAGGGAGAUUUAGAAACUCUGAAGAAGUACUGUACUUCUGAAGUUAUCACUCGUUGUGAAGCGGAGCACAAGGCUUUUCAGAGUCAUGGUAUUUUUUUUGAUAACAAGGUAAGACCCUUGACCUUAGAAUUUAUUCUUGCAUUGUGUAAUGAGGCUAUCCAGUACUUUAGCAUAUGUUCCUAUAUAUAUAUUGUUUUUACAGUUUUUCAUGUCUUUUGAGCAUUUACUUUGUGUUGGUGAAAAAUAUGUCUUUCUUCCACCCUUGAUGAUGGUUGACUCUAUUAAUAUCAUAAGCAUCUUCUCCCUUAAGACAAAAGAAAUCUCUUCAGUGUGUAGUCUGGCUUGCUUCUCAUAUUAGGUUCUAAUCCAUUUCUAUCUAUGAACUUUUCGGAUUGUGAUCUUAAAUGGUUUUUCAAAUGAGUUGUUAGGCUUAAUGGCAUUUGAUCCAUGUCACUACUCCUUUAAGUGGACUGUUAUGGAUAUGAUAACAUUUUCAAUUAGGAAGAUCAGAAAAAUGCUAGGACGUGGCAGACAUGCAUACAUAAUGGUGGCAAUCUUGCCUUCCAUUUUUGGUGUUGCUGCGUGAUUUGGAAUUUAUAAAAAAAACAUGCUUUUAUUAAGAGAAUACAAGCUUUAUGCAAGUGGAAGAUAUGCCAUUAUGUGCUCUUUAGUCUGAAUCAAUUAGCCAUUCAAAUUUUGGGGUGCAGCCUGGAAUUAGUUAUUAUUUGGUCAUGUAUCAUAUGAUUAAUGUAGUCUAGAUUUGGUGUAUUGAUGAUUAGAUAUACUUCAUCUUAGUGCAGAUUCUACAUAUAUCUGAGGUGGAAGUGAGAGAGACCAAAAUGAUGGGAACCUCCCCGAUAAUAAUUGUAGCGGUAUGUGUCCUCUUUUAUUUUCAUUUUCUUAUCCUGGUAACUUGAUAGAAGGCAUCAGCUAUCAGCCAUCAGACAGCCUUCUGGUAAUUGAUGCUUUUGUUUCUUCAAUAAUUGCAGUUCCAAACGCAGCAAGUCCACUGCGUACGCGAUAGAGACGGUGCGAUAACUGAAGGGGGCCAGGUAUAGUCGGUUAUUAUUUUAUGCACCAUGACCUUUUGAACACUUCAUUUUGCCUGCACAUUUCCUGCCUAAUUACUUUUCGUGUUCACAGUAGGUAUUUACAUUUUUAGAGUGGGUUCUUAUUAAUUUAUUUUAUAUAACAAUUGAUUGUUUGAGUUCUUUAAUCUUAAAUGGAGUAGAGGAGUAAAGGAUAAGGGAUACCUUGUCAAUGCUGAUGCUUUUAGGGACACCAAUGUUGCAAAAUGGGAAACAUGAUUCUGUCAACAUUCUGCUACAUUUCUAUUGUGCUACUUUGCAUAAUGAAUUUAGAUUUCUUAAAGCAUCUCUAAGGGACUCUUGUGUUUGUCAAACAUUUUUUUUUAUAAAAAAUCAUCCCAAAUGAGUCCAGUAGGCUCUUUACUUGUCAAAUAUAAAAUAAAAAGUUAGUUUGACUCUUCACAUCUAGGGAGCUAAGUUUUAAUUAAUUCACUACAAGUUUUUAUGUAUUUUAUUAAUUGGUAUUUAUGAUCCAAUGUUUUCAUUGGCAAAAGUUAGAAAGAGGAGGAAAAAUAUAAAACUAUUAAUGCUUAUGGGAAAAUCAAAAUGAAGAACAAAAGUAUAGAGUCAAAUAAAUUUUUUUUACUCUUUAUAUUUGAAUACUGAUUAAGAGGCUCUUCAUUGUAUAAUGAUACUCUUUAAAAUAAAGAUCACUUUUGGAGAUGCUCUUAAGGUAGAUUGAAAUAUUCUUACAUGCUUGCACCUUUAAUCAUAUUCAUAAAAUUUUGGCCCAAUGAUCAAGAAAAUUUAUAACUUCUACUUGUUUGUUUUUUUUUAAGCUUUUGACAAAAGGUUUUAUUUGGCAAUUUAAGUUUGAUUUGAAAAUCUGGUUGCAACUUUAGCCAGCUCUUCAACUUUGAGAAACAACUAUUUGAUCAUCAUAAUUGGAAGAAUCUAUUAUAUAUUAUCUUAUUUUCCUCCUGUAUUCUCCUUGCCCCCUCUUUUCUGAUAUCUACCUCCACCUCUUUCCUGCAAUGAUAUUUCCUCUCUCCUUUUCCUCUUCUCGUUGGUAUAUUUCUGCUGAGGAAAGCAAAAGGGAGGUUAGGGGAGAGGGAGGGAAGAGAAAGGAAAAAAAAGUCCGUACAUAUGUUUGUGUGUAUAAGCUUCUAAAAUUUGCCAAAACUGAAUUGGUCAAAAGUGAAGAUUGCAUAUAUUAGACAGAUCUUAAAUGUGUUCUGAGAGAAUUUUGGCUCUUUUAGGAUACAAUCCACACAGUAUACUAUGCAUGGGCUAUGCAACAAGUAGAACCAGAAGAACUAGGAGGAGGUGCCAUCUACCCAAUAUGGAAGCUAAGAGAGAUGCAACAACUUGGUAUCCAAGCCCUCAUCUAGGCUGUUACUCAUAGAUGAUGUACGAUUAGAUUCUCUGUUUCUUCUCGUCAUUUUGUUAUUUCUUUUAUAUGCUGCAUUUCUCUGGGUUUUGUCCCUCCAGUCUCCAGAGAAAGUUUUAGCUGAUAUUCUUGUUAAUUUGAUGAAUAAAGAAAUUGGGUACUUUUCAAAUUCAUAUAGGGUUGAUAAAAUGUUCAAAAUGAGAUGAAAAUGACAGGUUUUGUGACAGGAUUCAUAUUCAAAUUAAUCAAAUUGAUGCUUUCUUUUCAAAUAUUGGUCUAUCAACUGUUGGUCUUUCCUACAAUAUUGGUAAUCAUGGAGAUUGAGAUUGUAUAAUUUUAUAUUAUCAGUCAUGCUUGACAAAAUCAAGUCCAAUUUGGCAGAGCCUUUACAAAUGAUUUUAUAGAUUAGUAACACUACUAAUUCCAAAUGUUGCAAAUCUAGAAAGGAUUCGAUAUUUGAUAUGUAGGACGAAAAAUGAAAAAUUUCAUUUACUAACGAUUGUUUUUCAAAAUUUUAGUAAUGCUUUAAUUUUUUGUUUUCACCAUAAUGUUUUGCGAAAAUGAUUCUCUGUGCAUGUAAUGCAAAUUUGCAGCAAGUGUUUAGAAAUGGUAUUUUCAUUAAUGAGAUCAUCACGGUAAACCAAAUGUUUUUCAACCAACGGGCUUUAAUUUAAUGGUAUCGUACUGGAAUUUCACUAUUCAGGAGUUUUGAGUAAUUUUGCAACUUGGAUUUCCAUUCCUUGGGAGUUUUGAGUUUAUGAGACUGAAUCUGGUUGGAGUUCAUUGAUGAUAAAAAAAAAAUCAGUAAUUUUCAACCUCACAAGGGUGCAGAGCUGCCUGUACUCCCUUGUCAAUAUAAUGAAACUUUUCCUUGUAAUUGUCUACAAUUAGCCGAUUCUUUUAGGUUUAUCUGUAUCUCUCUUUUUCUCUCGAAGGCUCAAGACGCUAACAGUAUCUAUAGCUUGGGUUUCUCUUUUGAGGUAGUUUUUAGUGGCUUCAGCCUUUGGAAGCUCGCUCCAACAUAGCUUUUAUUUACCUGUUUUAAUGAAUGCCCUGUUUAUAGAUGUUUUCGUAUGUUUGUUUGUGCUGUUAUUUCAAUAAAUUGUACUGUUUUGGUAGUGUGUUUUGUGGUGGCAAACGGCCAUUUUUAGUCGAGUCCGACAUAUUCCGGCUAUCUUGUCAUUGUCAAUCAGAGCUUUUUAAAAUGCUACUCGUUGAUAACAGCUAGUGGGAGAAAGAGAUGGAUGCUGGCAGCAGCGAUUUUGUUGGUGAGGCAGAAACAGUCAAGGCCUAUUAUCAUGUCUUGUUGGCAGAAGCAAUCAAGACCUGAUAUCAUUUCUUUCUUGUAUUUCAUCGCAACUGAUAUGAGAUGUAGGGGUCUAUGGCAGUUAUUGAUUUAUGGACUGCAAUGGAGAAUCUCCUGCAAUUACGUGUUCACAUAGUAUAUACUUCAAAAUGGUAGGUCCAAAUUAUGGUCAAAUGGUACUUCCCCUUGCAGUGUGGGCAAGCUAUGAUUCCACCGAUCUUUCUGACGACUGCUGUGGCGAGUGCAAGUUCCUGCUCCCAUUUGGAGGAGGUGAGGAAGAUGAUAGAGAGUUCUUGAAAGGGAGGGUUAGAUCCUAGGUUCUAUUUAUUUUCUUGGUAGGCUUGUAGGCCGAAGUCUGCAUGCGCUUUAAGUCUAUUCUACUUGAGCUGAAGGAAUUUACCUUAGGCUUGUUUAUUCAAACCCCACUUGGGGUUUCAGUUAGUGUCUAUAGCUAUGGUCAUUCGGUUUUGAUUCUGAGACAAAAUUUGACUGCCUAUGAAACAAGAGUUUGUCAUUCUGAUGGUCCGAGUUUUUACCUCAUAGUGACCUCAUAGUGAAGAAUGCGAGGAGCUGUAACCUGAGAAUCCUCGCCUAUCACAAAGGAUGGAAGUAUUUGAUAAUGGUUCAGGCGGCCACAUGUUAUUGGUUGUAGGUGAAGGUAUACAUCUUGCACUCUGUAUUCUUCUCUAAGUUUAGAGCAAUGGAUAUCUCAGUAGUGAUCUGCAGUGGCAAUGCUAAUUUUUACGCUACAAAAGUAUUUAGAAUUCACGCCUAGCGGGGGUUCCUACCCUCUGACCAAAAAAAUAGACAAUUCUAUUCAAAAUUUUAUGAUAGGGGAAAUAGCAGAUCCUUAUUCAUUUUUCACCUGUUCAGCUUCAUUAAAAGACCUUUAGGAGUUGAUGAGGAUAUCGACGGGCAUGGCCUCAUCACUGAAGUGGAACCGGCCAUGGGAUCUUCACUGGCUGGCUACAUGUUUUGAAUGCGAUAUAUUCGAAUCUAUUGUUCCUGCUCUUCCAACACUAGCAAAGAAUUGUGGGAUAACGAACAUGUCUCCUUCCUUGACCAUUUCGUUCAUCAUGGUGUUUCCAUUAUCAUUGAUGAUCUGAAUUUGAAUAGACUGCCUUCUGCUUUGUCAUGGACCAGUGUGGAGUGUGGAUUGCAUUCUGCAACAUGGGCAUUAUGAGUAUUGGGUUUACUUUUAGCAACCUUGUAAGAUAUAAAUCAUGCAAGGAGCAGGGAAAAACUUGGGCAUUAACAUAGAGUUGGGUUCAAUAGUGGUCCUCAUUGCGCGACGCCAGAGCACUGGAACUGGUCCUCCAUUGGAUCCGUUAUUUCAGUCAUGCCACCCUCUGAUUCAUUUCGGCGAGAAGGCUGUGCAGAGGUAAUCCUCGGGAUCUGGCAUUACUGUGCCUCAUACUGCUGCUGGCUCUGGGGGUACCCGUCUCGCCCCAGCAGCAACGAGAGAGAAGAAAUACUGAAACUAGCUUACCAGUAGCCAUGGAAAGUGUUUCAACUUUGAAGAUAAAAGAACAGAAAACGAGAGAGGAUAGUUUAUAGAGUCAGGGUGGGAUUCAAGCUCAUUUUUAUAGCAGAAGAUAUUAGAGUUUUACUACAUGGAAAUAUUCCCGAUGUUAAAGCAGAGGCGCCACUUUUCUGUUCGUGCUGGUAAGCAGGUUUCUUUUACGUGGUGGGCGUAAAGAAAUGUUGCUAUCGCGCAUUUUUUGGGACCCCAUUGCUUUGCCUGUUAUUUGCAAAAACUGAAGUAUGUUACUAAUUUUCCAAGUGUAAAUUACUGAUGUGUAUGGUUGGUUAAAUCCUUGGAAUAAAGUCACUGAAUCAAGGAUGCUUGCAUCAAUGCAGCAGAGUAAUCUCACAACUGAUUAGAAUUAAAUUAAUCAUAUUAGGAAAAGAGAAGUCCUUUCAAGCAUAUAUGCAUAUACAGACAUGAACAGACUAAGCAAAGAACUGCAAUGACUAGAAACUAAAACAAAACCAAUGUUUUCUUUUUUCUUCUGUGUCGAAAAAAUUGGUUUUUAUGGGGCAUGAAAGUACAUUAAAGGAAAGGGAACGAUUCUCGUAUCUCGUUAUUGUUUGCGAGUAAAGAAAUUUCUCGACCAGAACACUGUUAUUAAACAUUAUAUGUUUCGUCUUACUCAGAUCGACAGAGACAAUGCCCAAGUGAGAGACACUAAUUGUGGAAGAAUUCAGUCCUUUAAAAUAGAAGCUGAUAUGCCAUUGAGCCAUUUAUAGGUAUUUGUAGCACUUUCAAAUUGACAUCAUUUGAGCACGGACAUGGGAAUCUAAAUUUCACCCGUAAAGAAUUCCAAUAUUUGCUGAUAAUAGAAGCGUUUAGUAAGAAAGAAAUGGUAACAUUUUCUUCAUCAUGUUCUUCAUGUAAAAUUCAACUUUUCAUUGAAAUGGGUACUUUACUUGACAUCAAGUGUAUCAAGAAAUGUAGUAUAGUGCAUUGAAAUUCUAAGAACAAUAAGUACGUACUACUACAUACAUAAUGCUUACUGAUACAUGAAUCAGCAGGCAGUAACAAAAAGAUCAUCCAUAAAUGAAGAAGAAUCGAUUAACAUGGAGAUAAUAAGAUUAAGUUAAUUUUAUCUCCUUAUUCAUGUAAUCACUUGCAUGUGUUUCAGAAUUAAAAUACUUGGCAGCCUGUGGUUAUAAGCUUGUUGAGCCAUCAACACAAAGCCAUUGACCAACAAAGAGAUCAACACAUUUGAGAUUGGGAUUGAUGGAAUCAAAGAACUCAGUAGGCAAUUUGAACAUCUAACAGCAAAGCAAGUAUCUCCACUAUUCAUUCCAUACACUGAUUCACUUUCGAUCGUAGCUUUCUUCCCAAUUAAUCCAGCUGAUUAAUUAUAUAUGAACAAAUUAGUCAUACAUGAGAAAUCUAGUUACUUUUCUAGGAAGGAAAAGAAACAAAUACAUUGCAUCCAUAUUAAAACAUUAAUAUAACAUACUCUAUUUAAAGUAUAACAUUUGAGACUACAUAUGUAGCUGUGAGUUCUGGAGUUAGAACAUCAGUCGAAGUAACAAAAGAAAAACAAUUAAGGUGAAGUGUUUAAAUUAAGAAUAAGUAAGACUUACUUCCAAGAAAAGGUCGGCUUUCAGCAAUAGAGACAAUGAGAAGGAAAGAGAGCAUCAACCAAGUAGAAGAAAAUGACUCGGUAAUUGACUUAUUAGCCAUAUCUUCUUUCCGAGUCCUCCUGUAGUUCACCUCGGUGUAAUAUGCACUUAGAAAAUUUUUACCAUUUGAUUGAAAUCAUUUAAUCCCAUCCAUUAGAUUAAAUAAUUUGUUACCUGUUUAGCAGGUAAUAUUUUUUCCACAAUUUAUUAAUUGUAUCUGAAUUUUCUAUACUAUUAUCUACACACUUUUUAAUUUGAAAUUAUUUAGCUAUUCAGUUCAUUGAAAUUCAAAGAAUCAAUUAAGAAAUUAUAGUUCUCUCUUUUUAAUUUUCUAACAAUCUCUAUCAAAUAUGUUGAUUUGAUUAACCCUUUUUAUUUAUUAAACUAUUCACAUAUUAUAACACGAACGAAACCCACUACAACUUAAGCAACUUAUUAUAUCAAGUUAAAAUUAAUUUGAUGUUUAUCUCUAAUAGCAUGUAAAGUUGUAGGUGCAUGCUACACCCGGAUGCACUACAGGAAAAGCCCUUCUUUCUGUUAAACCUUCUCUGAAUUAGCUUAUUAACAAGGAGACCAACUCUCUUUUCCUGAAGACAUUUGGCUUAAUGCUUCUAUAUUUAUAGCAAUAACUCAAACAAGACAGAAAUAAAUUAUAACCCAAAAAGAAUAUCACAGUCUCAGUUAAACAAGAGGCCGGCUCACAACUCUCUCUCUCUCUCUAUAUUUUGCAGCCUAAUUUGAUAUUUGAGCUUUGGAUUUAUAUAUUUACAUAUGGAAUUUUCAACAAAGACCAUACACGGAUUUUACUAUAACAAAGGGCUUCUCAAAAUGGUAAUACAAUUCCUACUUAGUUUUCUUUAUAAUAAAACUUAAAUAGAAAAAAGAAAUUGGGUAAUAAGAUUCUUUUAGGCACUUUAUGCCAAAAAAAUGGUUUUAAUAAUACUAAAUAUGGAAUUAGCUUGAAAUGCUAGUAGUCUAAUUGUGAGGACAUGGAGUCUAUUAAAUGGAGAUUAUGCAAAAAUAAAAUAAAAUCAUUUAAUUCUUUUUGUUUUGUGAAUCCACAGAUUUCAUAAUUAGUAAGAUUUCUAAUAAAAAGUCUUUCAGAGAAAUGAACCCAUUUAAGUAUUUUUUUUUUCAGUUCAAUAUUCGAAUAUGAACAAUAACUAUCUUCUAAAUACUUUGUUUAUAAUCUCGUGAAUUUUAACUCGAAAAAUGUAGAUUUUUAUGAUUACAAUUGGAGUGACAAAAAAAAAAAAAANNNNNNNNNNNNNNNNNNNNNNNNNNNNNNNNNNNNNNNNNNNNNNNNNNNNNNNNNNNNNNNNNNNNNNNNNNNNNNNNNNNNNNNNNNNNNNNNNNNNNNNNNNNNNNNNNAAAUUUUAUCAACCACCGAAUUAUUUAUAACUCUGAUUAAAAUGGGAGAGAGUAAAAGAAACUGAAUCAUCCAUACCAAACUCAACAAUCGAUUAACCCGAUUCAAUUAAUGUUUUUAGUUUCGAUAUUAAAACUGGAGAAUAUUUAUUAUUUGACUAAUUCACCGAUUUUAAUUUUUAAUUUUUUAUCAACCAACUGGAUUAUUUACCAACUUUUUUUUUUCUUAAAUCGACAAAAUCAGUAAUUAACCGAUAAUUUUUUUUUGUUAAUUAAACUGAUAGUAUUUUCACUUAUUUAGUUUAUUUUAUUCUUUUAUUCAAUUUGAACCAAAACAAACCUAAUUAUAAUUGUUAUGUUACAUACACACAAGUUGCUCCGGCAUUACAUAUUUGGAUGGAAAACCAAACCUCCUGCUAAUUGGGAGGAGACAAAAAAAACCAGUUAAGAUUAUUAAUACUGUUUGGGAUUGCGUUUGGUGUUUAAGAAAUAAGUUUAAAUUCUUUUUGAUUUAAUAUAUUAAUUUCUAAUUUAUUUAUAAGAUUAUUUUUCUGUUUGAAAUAAUAGACUAUUUGCCUGUCCUAUUUUUAAGGAAAAAUAUUUAUUUACGUGCUUUUUAAAAAAAUAAUUUUCAAGAUAAAAACUGAGGUUGGAACCAACCUCAAUGCCAAAACUUACCCAUAAUUAGCUAUAUGUUCAGUGACCCAAAUUAGCUACCUGAUUACGAGUUAAUCCUAAUGAACAGUUAUAAAUCCAACAUUCAAUUACUUAAUCUCUUUGACAAACUAAUAGCUUAAGAACUAAGCUGGUCCACAAGUCCUUAAACAAGAAUUUGUGUUCAUUCAUCCUCAUCCUUUUGGUAUAUUUUCUUGCAUCAGAAAUCUUGCGUAAAGACUAAGCCAGCAUGCAAAUUGGAACAGAAAGAAUACGAAUCCCUUAAUAUGAAACAAAUCCAAUUGCAAUAAAGAAUCUACGGCUGCCAACUAUAUCUCUGUGCCCAUCUCUUAUUAUAAAGUGCCAUUUUAACACCCUUCACACACUCGCAGAAAAGGAAGUUCCAUCUCCCAUUUCCUCUCAUGUCUUGCUUAAACCUUAGGAUUCCACCUGCCAGGAAGGCAUGGAAGAGCUUCACCUCUAAACUGCAAAACAAACUUCAUAAACUGAACAAGUCCAAGGCUAUCAAGAAACCCAAGAACAGGUUCAAUCCUCCGCCAACAAAAGCUAUUGUACGUGACCAUAACAGGAAAAACCUACUUCGGUCGUCUAGUUCUGCUUUUCCCUUCAAAAGACGACGAAACCACUUGUUUUUGCAGAAAAAGAGUGCGCCUGUGUAUGUUGACAAGCUGUUCCGAGAUCCUGUUGCUGAUGUGCUGGCGGUAGACUUUCCACCAACAGCUAAGGUUAUGAAGAUUGUUGAUAAACAGGUUUUCACAGUAGCAGAAUCAGCUGCAAGCAAGGAAGAGAGGAAAGGAGACGAAGGAGCUCCUGUCCCUGCGGCUGCGGAUGAUAUGUGGGAGUCAUUAGGUUUUGCAUCUCCUCUUAUGAGAGGAAUAGAUGAAAGGGCUGAGCAAUUUAUUGCAAGUUUCCGGGCAGAGAUGGAAGUUCAGGAGAUUAUGGCAAGUGAUUUGUACGUAGAAAAUGCUAGUUUGUAGCAUAUAUUUUUCUUUUUCAGCUUAAUAUGAUUUAUUGAGGAUAAAAGUCUGGAGGUCGACAUAUAUUCGACAAAAUUUUCUAGGCUUUUGGGGAACCUGUAGCUGAAGAUUAAUAGUCCUGUAAAUUCUUGGAAACAGAAACUUAAAACCUUUAUUUGUGUGCAUUUCCAUCUUUUUUUACUGUUAGAAACAGAAAUUUUUAUUUGUCAAUGUCCAUGCAUAUGGAGGUCAUCUUGAUUCUUGAAAAGUACAGUUAUUCAGAAAAACCGCAACAUGGAUUUGAAGUUUCUGAGUAAUGAAUGAUUAAAGCAACAAGUGUUAUUUAAACCGUUAAAAUUGGUCGCACGACACAUGGGGUUCUAGAAAACAGAAUCGACAAUAUACAUCAAGGAUUAACUUUGGUGCAGUAAUACAAAACUCAAUUUAAGCUUAAACAAUAAACACAGGUGGAAGUUGGCUUAUAGAAUUCACUCCCCUACAGACCAUGGAGUUGCCGUGCAUAUUUUUACAAGAAUCGAAUAGCUUUGGGUGCCUAGACAUUGGGCUAGUUUGGCAUUUGCUUUCUGCCACAUGCUUUUGAUUCCAUGUGCCAAACUAGCUCAUUCUCUUAAGACUUAAAAAGUUGCAGGAUAACUGGAACUAGUAGACAGUCAGCUGACAGCACUACUGCGUAAUAGCUGCCCCAUUAAUACAAGCCUCUAACCAUCCACCAUAAUCAACAUCACAUCUGUACUCAGUGGAGGAAAUUCUUCAUUGGGUCAUCAUGAUGUACUUUCGUCAUCCUGUAUGCUUCCAUGUCCUCAGGGGUAACCUAUAAUUAGUUAAAACAGUGGUGAGAUAACCACAAGAAUGCAACAACACAAUCAACACUUGUGUUUAUCAUAAAGCUGAUAUUACAAUAGAAGUAGAUAAUAAUACCUCAUCAUUCCAUGUAACAUUGUACUUGCGCUUCCUUUCAUCUCUCUCUUCUUUCUUUCUCUCUUUCUCCUGUACCAAAAAAAACACAUAAUCCAGUCAUCCUCAGGCUCUAAAAAACCAGAUCAUUCCCACUUAACCUGAUGGGAAAAGAGAAAGUACAAAAACGUUACGGAAAAAAAUAAAAAACCACCAUGCAAAAGGUUGGAUCCCACGCUCACCUUUUUAAGUGCUUCAGCAAGUAACUUCUCAUCCAAAACCAAAUCAUCUGGAACCUCAGUUCCCCAUGUAGCAACCCGUUUCUCCUCCACCGGUUCUGGCAUAUCUGUUCCAUCGUAGAAUAUACAAAAAAUUAAUCAUUCACAAAAUAGCUUAAACAGGGGUAAUUAAUUACAAAAACCAAAGUUAUCAAAGUCUCAAUGGACCAAACAAGAAUUCCAAUCCUAGUAUUCUAUCAUUGUUUGAGAAAAUAAAUAAUAAAUGCGAGAAAGAAGUUCAUGCACAAACCUUCUUUGACCUCUUUGCGAGCAAUAUUAGCCCUCAUGAGAUCUGUUGCAGCCUCGGCAGCCUUAAUUCCAGCAGCACCUGUGCAAUAGCUGUUUCUAACCGUCUGUUUGCAGCACUUGUAACCCCAUUGAUGAUCCUUCCACCACGAACCCCACACAGUUGUGUGGUUGUUAAUGUAAACAUCUUCUUCAUACUUACUUUUGGGAAGAACAAUCUCCUGCAAUUAGCAUGACAUGAAGGAAUUCAAAAACAAGGAGGAAGAAAGGGAGGGAAGGGGGGGGGGGGGGGNNNNNNNNNNNNNNNNNNNNNNNNNNNNNNNNNNNNNNNNNNNNNNNNNNNNNNNNNNNNNNNNNNNNNNNNNNNNNNNNNNNNNNNNNNNNNNNNNNNNNNNNNNNNNNNNNNNNNNNNNNNNNNNNNNNNNNNNNNNNNNNNNNNNNNNNNNNNNNNNNNNNNNNNNNNNNNNNNNNNNNNNNNNNNNNNNNNNNNNNNNNNNNNNNNNNNNNNNNNNNNNNNNNNNNNNNNNNNNNNNNNNNNNNNNNNNNNNNNNNNNNNNNNNNNNNNNNNNNNNNNNNNNNNNNNNNNNNNNNNNGGGGGGGGGGGGGGGGAGAGAUGUAAAAACUCUUUUUCCAGUAUUCGUGCAUUAGCCCUCCAUCAUUUUUAUGCACCAAGACAUCGAACUAACUGAAUUGCAUUCGAAGACCCAUUUGUACGAAGCUAGAUGUAGAUAACAUCCCAGUUCUUUAUAUCAACAUAGACCAAUGACCAAAACUAAAAAACAAUCUCAUUUCAAAUUUUUCAACGAUUUUCAAAUCCCAUUUUCUAGUCUGAUGGAUUUCCGACCCUCCAACCCGCAAGAGAGCUAUCACAUUAAAUUGACAGAAUGGUGAUAAAUAUGAAAAUCAAUUUUCCUAGCAAAUUUACCUGUCCCUUUAUGAUCCGUCCAGCGCGAUCAUAUUCAACUUGUCUUUCACUUUGUCCCAGCAAAAGUUCUCUUGGAAUUUCUUCUUCACUAGCAGCAUUGCCAUACUUCUCCAUAAUUGUGUCCUUUGUUCGCGUCUUCAAUUUCUCCUUUAUAACCUUAUAAUUCUUAUAUAGCAACUCGGCUUGGGAUGGAGCUGCUUGCAUGUGAAUAUCUUGACCCUUAUCAAAUGCCUCCCAAGAAUGGAUGUUCAGCUGCUUGAAUUCCAAAGCUUGACCGCUAUUCCUAUAUUGAUUAUCUCCCUAAAAAGUAAGGGAAAAAAAGAAGUUCAGUCAAUAUGGUAUACAAAAAGAUUGCAAGUAUAUAGCCAGUCUAUUUUCAAGAAUACUUACCCCAUAGAAUUUCUCAUUUGGAUCUGCAUCUGGAAGGGGAUCCUCACGCAUUGACCGGGUUUUGGGGUCAUAAUGGGCAGAGUUGACAUCAAGAUUUAAAAGAUAUUUUGCUGUAUCCUCCCGAAUACGCAGAUUUCUACAAAAGAAUAAAGUGAUUUUUAGUUGCAUUUUUAGCAAAUAUAAAAUUGGAAAUAUAAACAACAGCAACCACCAAAAUCAUAAAAGAGAUUUAAAAUGGUUACAUAUAUCACAAUCCACAGCAGCUCUUUGGCCAUACUCACCUAACAGUUCCUGUGCUCCCACCACCAGUUGUUCGAACACGCUUUUCUACCUUUGCAAAAUCCAUUUGUUUGCUCUCAUCAACCUUAGCUUCAUCUACCCUUAAAUCAUCUUCAUCAUUGUCCUCAUCACUAGCUCCCUCCUCAGCAUUUUGGCUACUGUUUUUCUCUUCUAAUUUCUUAAGCUGUUGUUCCUUGAGGUACUUCCUUCGAGCUGCUCCCUGUGCUUCAUAUCUCUCCACGACAUGAGCAUAAUUUGAUGUAUCAUACCCAUUCCAGCGGUCACGCUUACCAUCAUAGUCGAGCUCAAAAGAUUCAAUAUUUUCAUCAGGAGCAAUGUGUUUAUUAGUCCACUUUGCCCCAACUCUCCUGGGUCUUUCCAUGCAUGACUUAGCAUCAUGAGUCAUAGCACCACAAUUUUGGCAUGCACCCUUCCUGUAUUUAUCAGCUUUCUCUAGAAAAACCCCUCUACGAUACCAGUCUCUUGUAUACUCUGGGUCUGCUUUCCACUUGCGUUGAUGUUUCAAACUAGGCUUCUCAGCAUUAAGAUACCAAGGAGCAGAGGACAUGUACUGAGGAAUAUGAGGAUUAAUCUCCUUUCCAUCUUCAUCAACUUCAGCAGGUGCAAGCCCUGCUUUUCGAGCUUCUUCCAAUUCAAUUUGCUUCCUAUGGUCCUCCCUAGACUUAAACGCAACUGCAAUCAUGCAAAUAACAUAAUUAACUUAGCUUUCCCGAUUACAAUUCCACUGAAAUAAACAUCCAAAUAAGUUAUAAAACUCAAAUUAAAAAAAUUUAAAAAAGAAAGAAAAGAAAUUUAACACUAUAUAAAUUAUGUCCAACAAAGAACAAAAAGAAAAUUCCCCUUUCUAAUACCUAAUGCAGAGGAAAGCAAAACAGUCUAAAUAUUACUUAAUUUUGAUCGAAAUCCAUGCCCUAAAUCAUAAUCACCAUAAAAGCCUAAAUAAAUAUCUAAACUCAAUGAUCUUAAUCAGCCGAUUGCAACAAAAAUUCACAAUUAAAGAAGCCGAAUUAAUAACAUGGAUGACUUCUGUUAAGCAAAUUAAAACGAUAUCAAAUAUAUCGAUUACAUUCAAUAAGAAAGCUAAAAACAUACCUGAUGCUGUUGCCAUGUCGAAUCGCUAAGAACGAUACCCUAACAGUAGGAGAGAGAAGAACAANNNNNNNNNNNNNNNNNNNNNNNNNNNNNNNNNNNNNNNNNNNNNNNNNNNNNNNNNNNNNNNNNNNNNNNNNNNNNNNNNNNNNNNNNNNNNNNNNNNNNNNNNNNNNNNNNNNNNNNNNNNNNNNNNNNNNNNNNNNNNNNNNNNNNNNNNNNNNNNNNNNNNNNNNNNNNNNNNNNNNNNNNNNNNAUUAUAAUAUUAUUUUUUAAAAUACAUAUCUUCAUAUCAUCAAAAAAAAAAAAUUGCUAUAAGAAAUAUAUAAACUAUUCAUGAAAUAUAAAGUAAAAAUGAUAAAUCAACCUCAUUUAUCUAAUUUCAUAAUAAUUUAAUUCAAAAUAAUAUUAUUUUGAUAUUUUAUAGAUAAUACUUUUAGUAUAUUUUUAAGAUGAAAUUUUAAAAAGAGAAUUCAUAAUAAUAAUACAUUAAAAAUAAUAAAUUUUCGAUAUCUUUUAGAUAUAUUUUUAUUAUAUUUUUAAUGAGAUUAAGAAAAAAAUAAAAAUAGAAUUCACAAUAAUAUAAAUUAAAAAUAAGGUAUUUUUAGGUAUAUUUUUAGUUUAUCUUUUUUUUUCGGAUGAAAUUAUGAAAAGCAAAUUCAUAAUAAUACAAGUUAAAAUAAUAAAAUUUUAAUAUUUUUUAGGUAUAUUUUUAGUAUCAUUUUUCUAACAAAUUUUUGAAAAAAUAAAAAAGAUAUAAAAUAAAAAAUAAUAUCCUUUUGGUAUAUUUUAGAUCUACUGUUAGUGUCUUCUUUUUGAUGAAAUUUUGAAAAAAAAAUAUAAAUAAAUAAAUAAAUUUGAAAAAAAAAAUAUUUUAAAAAUAUUGACUAUAAAAGUAAAACUUUUUUAGAAA
rnacentral:lncRNA from 1 species